rnacentral:ncRNA from 1 species
UAAUAUAAUUUAUUAUAUAAUUUGUUUAUAAAUAAAAAUUUAUGAGUUUAAAUAAAAAUAACUUAAAUAGUUUUUUAUUUUUAUUGAUUUAAUAUAUAAAUUAAUUUAUUUAAAUGAAAAUUUAAAAUAGAAAAUUAUAAUAAUUAUUAAUAAAAAAAGUGCCAGCAAUUGCGGUUAAACUUUUGAUAAAAAUAAAUUUAUAUAAUAAUUAAAUAAAAAUUUAUUUUAUAAGAUAUUUAUUUUGUUAAUAAAAAUUUUUUUUUAUGGUGAAAUAUGAAAAUUUAAAUGAUUAAUAAUAUAAAUAUAGUAAAGGAUAUUUUAUGUAAAUUUUAUAUUAAACUAGGAUUAGAUACCCUAUUAUUUAUAAUUAAUUAAAAUUUAAUUAAGUAUUAAAUGUGAAUCAUUAAAUAUAAAAAAUUUGGCGGUAUUUUAUUAAUUAGAGGAACUUGUUGUUUAAUUUGAUAGUCCACGAAUGGAUAAACUUAAAAUUUUAUUUUAUGUAUUGUUGUUUGUAAGUUAUAUUAAUAGAUAUUAAUUUUAAUAUUUUAUUAUAAUUAAAAAAAUUGAAUAUAAUUUUAUAAUUAUAAAAAUAUAAUAAUUCAAAUCAAAAUGUAGAGUAAUUAAGAAUUAGAUGAGUUACAAUUAAUUUUUUAGUGGAUUUAAUAUUUUAAUAUUUAAUGAAAUUGGAUUUAAAUGUAAAUUUAUAAAAAUUUAUAAGUUGAAUUAUAUUUAAAAUAUGUACAAAUUGCCCGUCAUUUUCAUGGUUAAUAUGGAAAAAGUCGUAACAAAGUAAGUAUACUGGAAAGUGUACUUAGAUUUUA